CCCCAGGAACCGCGAGGUUGCGAGCAGGAGCGGAGAGAGGGUGAGUGCUGGCAGCGGGGAAGGGGGUGGCGGCCGCAGAGGCCGAGGAGGCUCCGGUCCGGCCGCCUCUGCGGACCCCCGCCUCUGUGUGUGUCACGGUCUCUAUGGAGAUCUCCCGCAGAGGACAGCACGAACAGUUCCCCGCGGUGCUGAGGCCUAACUCGACCGCCGACUGGUGGGAGUUCUUCCGUCGCCCUAGCCGUAGCUGCCGCAGUUGAAGCCGCUGGCGACGCCCGCCUACCCCUCCCCUGUGCGCACAGCGCCCGCCCCGCCGCCGUCGUCGUCGUCGUCCCUGCAGCCUCCGCCGCCGUUGCGCCUAUUACCCCUGCUAAGGCGGCUGCCGCGGUCGCGAGCCAGAAUGUCGUCACUCAUCGGCGCCCGACGCAUUUGCAUCAUCAUGCUGCGACGAGCUGAUAGGCAAAGAGGAAGGGCUGGUCGAGUCCACGCUCUCGGCCGCGCGGCACGCUGGGAAACGUAGUUCAACAACGGAACGCGGCUUCUCGGAAAGGAAGAGGGACGGGGAAGGAGAUCUCCGGGGCGCCGCAGAGGCACAAAGCCAAGGGGUUUUGUUGCAGACACACGGGGCUGGAAUUCUGGUUCUGCCACCCAACCUAUUUGACCUUGGAUGAAUCAAAACCGUCUGAGCCUUAGCUUCCUCCUCCAUAAAAUGGGAGCUUUAAAAUCCACCUUAUAAAGCUGUUGUGAGGAGCAGACGUGAUCAUCUAUGGAGAGCAUGUAUAUUUGCUAAUAGACGAAAAAUGCGAUGAAUGAUUACAAUUAUAACCCAUGCAGUCAGCUAACAUUAGGGGCACUCCUUGCCAUUUCCUGUUGCUACCAUACUUUAUUAUUUUAAAGUGUAUUCCUGGUCAGGCAUGUGGCUCACACCCAUAAUCUCAGCACUUUGGGAAGCCAA
rnacentral:lncRNA from 1 species